rnacentral:rRNA from 1 species
CCUACGGGAGGCAGCAGUGGGGAAUUUUGGACAAUGGGCGCAAGCCUGAUCCAGCAAUGCCGCGUGAGUGAAGAAGGCCUUCGGGUUGUAAAGCUCUUUUGUCAGGGAAGAAACGGUGUGGGCUAAUAUCCCGCACUAAUGACGGUACCUGAAGAAUAAGCACCGGCUAACUACGUGCCAGCAGCCGCGGUAAUACGUAGGGUGCAAGCGUUAAUCGGAAUUACUGGGCGUAAAGCGUGCGCAGGCGGUUUUGUAAGUUUGUCGUGAAAUCCCCGGGCUCAACCUGGGAAUGGCGAUGAAGACUGCAAGGCUAGAAUCUGGCAGAGGGGGGUAGAAUUCCACGUGUAGCAGUGAAAUGCGUAGAGAUGUGGAGGAACACCGAUGGCGAAGGCAGCCCCCUGGGUCAAGAUUGACGCUCAUGCACGAAAGCGUGGGGAGCAAACAGGAUUAGAUACCCUGGUAGUCCACGCCCUUAAACGAUGUCUACUAGUUGUCGGUUUUAAUUAACUUGGUAACGCAGCUACGCGUGAGUAGACCGCCGUCGGGUAGGUACGGUCGCGAGAAGUUAAAACGUUAAAAGGUAAGUAGACGGCGUGAGACGUGCCGACGGACGACGACGAGGGAGGUUAGG